rnacentral:rRNA from 1 species
GACGAACGCUGGCGGCGUGCUUAACACAUGCAAGUCGAACGGAAAGGCCCUGCUUUUGUGGGGUGCUCGAGUGGCGAACGGGUGAGUAACACGUGAGUAACCUGCCCUUGACUUUGGGAUAACUUCAGGAAACUGGGGCUAAUACCGGAUAGGAGCUCCUGUUGCAUGGUGGGGGUGGGAAAGUUUCGGCGGUUGGGGAUGGAUUCGCGGCUUAUCAGCUUGUUGGUGGGGUAGUGGUUUACCAAGGCUUUGACGGGUAGCCGGCCUGAGAGGGUGACCGGCCACAUUGGGACUGAGAUACGGCCCAGACUCCUACGGGAGGCAGCAGUGGGGAAUAUUGCACAAUGGGCGGAAGCCUGAUGCAGCAACGCCGCGUGCGGGAUGACGGCCUUCGGGUUGUAAACCGCUUUCGCCUGUGACGAAGCGUGAGUGACGGUAAUGGGUAAAGAAGCACCGGCUAACUACGUG